CAAAGAUAAGCCAUGCAUGUCUAAGUAUAAGCAAUUUUAUACUGUGAAACUGCGAAUGGCUCAUUAAAUCAGUUAUCGUUUAUUUGAUAGUACCUUACUACUUGGAUAACCGUGGUAAUUCUAGAGCUAAUACAUGCUAAAAACCUCGACUUCGGAAGGGGUGUAUUUAUUAGAUAAAAAACCAAUGCCCUUCGGGGCUCCUUGGUGAUUCAUAAUAACUUAACGAAUCGCAUGGCCUUGUGCCGGCGAUGGUUCAUUCAAAUUUCUGCCCUAUCAACUUUCGAUGGUAGGAUAGUGGCCUACCAUGGUUUCAACGGGUAACGGGGAAUUAGGGUUCUAUUCCGGAGAGGGAGCCUGAGAAACGGCUACCACAUCCAAGGAAGGCAGCAGGCGCGCAAAUUACCCAAUCCCGACACGGGGAGGUAGUGACAAUAAAUACUGAUACAGGGCUCUUUUGGGUCUUGUAAUUGGAAUGAGUACAAUUUAAAUCCCUUAACGAGGAACAAUUGGAGGGCAAGUCUGGUGCCAGCAGCCGCGGUAAUUCCAGCUCCAAUAGCGUAUAUUAAAGUUGUUGCAGUUAAAAAGCUCGUAGUUGAACCUUGGGCCUGGCUGGCCGGUCCGCCUCACCGCGUGCACUGGUCCGGCCGGGCCUUUCCUUCUGGGGAGCCGCAUGCCCUUCACUGGGUGUGUCGGGGAACCAGGACUUUUACUUUGAAAAAAUUAGAGUGUUCAAAGCAGGCCUAUGCUCGAAUACAUUAGCAUGGAAUAAUAGAAUAGGACGUGUGGUUCUAUUUUGUUGGUUUCUAGGACCGCCGUAAUGAUUAAUAGGGAUAGUCGGGGGCAUCAGUAUUCAAUUGUCAGAGGUGAAAUUCUUGGAUUUAUUGAAGACUAACUACUGCGAAAGCAUUUGCCAAGGAUGUUUUCAUUAAUCAGUGAACGAAAGUUAGGGGAUCGAAGACGAUCAGAUACCGUCGUAGUCUUAACCAUAAACUAUGCCGACUAGGGAUCGGGCGAUGUUAUCUUUUUGACUCGCUCGGCACCUUACGAGAAAUCAAAGUCUUUGGGUCUGGGGGAGUAUGUCGCAAGCUGAAACUAAG
rnacentral:rRNA from 1 species